rnacentral:piRNA from 1 species
UGAUGUGUGUGUCGCUGGGAAGGUC